rnacentral:rRNA from 1 species
UACAGAGGUCUCGAGCGUUAGGCGGAAUCACAGGGCUUAAAGCGUGUGUAGGCGGAUCGGUAAGUACCUUGUGAAAUCCCACGGCUCACCCGUGGAACUGCUGGGUAUACUGGCGGUCUUGGGCCAACUAGGGGCAGCUGGAACAAGCGGUGGAGCGGUGAAAUGCGUAGAUAUCGCUUGGAACGCCGAAGGUGAAAACAGGCUGCUGGGGUUGUGCCGACGCUGAGACACGAAAGCCAGGGGAGCAAACGGG